rnacentral:rRNA from 1 species
UAGGGAAUCUUCCGCAAUGGACGCAAGUCUGACGGAGCAACGCCGCGUGAGUGAAGAAGGAUUUCGGUUCGUAAAACUCUGUUGUUAGAGAAGAACAGCGCAUAGAGUAACUGUUAUGCGUGUGACGGUAUCUAACCAGAAAGCCACGGCUAACUACGUGCCAGCAGCCGCGGUAAUACGUAGGUGGCAAGCGUUGUCCGGAUUUAUUGGGCGUAAAGCGAGCGCAGGCGGUCAAUUAAGUCUGAUGUGAAAGCCCCCGGCUCAACCGGGGAGGGUCAUUGGAAACUGGUUGACUUGAGUGCAGAAGAGGCGAGUGUAAUUCCAUGUGUAGCGGUGAAAUGCGUAGAUAUAUGGAGGAACACCGGUGGCGAAAGCGGCUCUCUGGUCUGUAACUGACGCUGAGGCUCGAAAGCGUGGGGAGCGAACAGG